GGGUGUCUAGCUCAACUGGCAGAGCGCCGGUCUCCAAAACCGGAGGUUACAGGUUCGACUCCUGUGAUGCCCGCCA
rnacentral:tRNA from 1 species